rnacentral:snRNA from 1 species
GGAUGUAAGGGAGCUCUGGCUGUGACAUCUGUCACCCAGUGGUUGCCAGGGUUGAUUCUGCUGAUCUGUCUGGCUAGGCUCGUGUCCGCUUCCUCCCUCACCGCUCCGUGCGUCCCUCCCAAAGCCGCAUGCUCAGUUGAAGAGGAUAACCUUCCCCGAAUAGAGGAGGACCGGUCUGUAGUCAAGCGUGCAUGCGUAGCCGCGCUCCCCUGCUAGAACCUCCAAACAAGCUCUCAAGACAGCCGAAAGAUGAAAUGAGUCUGAGUCAAGGAUGUGCCAUUGCCUU